rnacentral:ribozyme from 1 species
CGUUCGUUUGUUUUUUUCUUCUUCUUCUUCUUCUUCAUUUCCUUUUUACU